rnacentral:rRNA from 1 species
AUGACAAAAAAAGAGUUUCGCUGUGACGCCGCCGCCGCCAUAGGAACCAGCCUGCCGGAGGAGCUGCACCUCGAAAUCCUGCGCCGCCUCUCCCCGAUUCCCCAUGUGCUCGCCCGCGCCUCCGCCGUCUGCCGGGAGUGGCGCCGCGUCGUGAACAACCCCGAGUUCCUCCGCGAGCUUUACCUUGCUCGCAGCGGGGCGCCCGUCACUGUGGGUUUCUUCCACAAUGCGGACGACGGUGAGUACCCGCGCAGGUUCGUGGAGGCGCAACCUGGCGACCCCUUGAGACUCUCCUUCAAAUUCAUCGAUCGGACGAUCAACUGGCAGUUCGUGGACUGCCGGCACGGCCGCGUCCUGCUCAAGGAUCGACCGAGUCAUCGGUUCCUGCUGUGGCAUCCCAUGUCAGGCGACCACCACCUCGUUCUAAAGGGGCCACCGGUGUCCGGUGAACAAGAAAGUACUGGUGUCACGCUGAUAUGUGAUUGUGGUGUGGUACCCGGCGAUGACGAAGCCGACAAGAUAGGUCAACGCACGUUGUGCCAUGCGAGCCACUUUGGCGUGGCAAUCGUCUGCAACCACAGACGCACAGGCUGCCUGGAGGCCACCAUCUACUCCUCUGUCACAGGUGAGUGGAGCUCACCGCUGCAACUACCAAAUUCGGCACGUCAAAUCCGCCCCGAGCCAUGUGCCGUCAUCAGCAAAACCUUGUACCAACCACUAUGCGACUAUCUCGUUCUGGCCUACGAUACGGAGCAAGGGAGCCUUACCACAUUCAAGCGACCAAAUUGCGGCAAUAUUCGUCUUUUUAAGGCGGGCACUGCCGUGCUCGGCCUCGCCGGGGUAUUGGGUUUCACAUUGCGCUUGUGGGCAAGAUAUGCGAAUGCGUGGGUGCUGCAGAAGAUGAUCGAUCUGACCGAGAUUCUUCAUGGUCUGUCAACUGCUCCAUCGCCCAGAACAGACCCUCGGUUUAACUUUAUGCCGCCAGUGAAGAUCAUUGGGGUUGCCGAUCAGGGCGAUGUUUUGUUUUUGUGGACCAUGAUCGGCAUAUUCAUGUUAUGUCCUGAAUCCAUGGAGGUCAAGAAGGUGCAUCAGACUUCUGCCAACAUGAAUGUCGUAUAUCCCUAUGGUGCCUUUUAUGUCCCACCUGCUGCCCGUACCCAAAAGUUGCGACAUAGGCCAAAGAGUAGAUGA